GACGAACGCUGGCGGCGUGCUUAACACAUGCAAGUCGAACGGAAAGGCCCUGCUCUUGUGGGGUGCUCGAGUGGCGAACGGAUGAGUAACACGAGAGUAACCUGACCUUGACUUUGGGAUAACUUCAGGAAACUGGGGCUAAUACCGGAUAGGAGCUCCUGCUGCAUGGUGGGGGUGGGAAAGUGUCGGCGGUUGGGGAUGGACGCGCGGCUUAUGAGCCUGUUGGUGGGGUAGUGGCUGACCAAGGCUUCGACGGGUAGCCGGCCUGAGAGGGUGACAGGCCACAUUGGGACUCAGAUACGGCCCAGACGCCUACGGGAGGCAACAGUGGGGAAUAUUGCGCAGUGGGCGGGAGCCUGGUGCAGCGACGCCGCGUGCGGGAUGACGGCCUUCGGGUUGUAAACCGCUUUCGCCUGUGACGAAGCGUGGGUGACGGUAAUGGGUAAAGAAGCACCGGCUAACUACGUG
rnacentral:rRNA from 1 species